rnacentral:rRNA from 1 species
UUACCGAGUUUACAACUCCCAAACCCAUGUGAACAUACCUACUGUUGCUUCGGCGGGAUUGCCCCGGGCGCCUCGUGUGCCCCGGAUCAGGCGCCCGCCUAGGAAACUUAAUUCUUGUUUUAUUUUGGAAUCUUCUGAGUAGUUUUUACAAAUAAAUAAAAACUUUCAACAACGGAUCUCUUGGUUCUGGCAUCGAUGAAGAACGCAGCGAAAUGCGAUAAGUAAUGUGAAUUGCAGAAUUCAGUGAAUCAUCGAAUCUUUGAACGCACAUUGCGCCCGCCAGUAUUCUGGCGGGCAUGCCUGUCUGAGCGUCAUUUCAACCCUCAUGCCCCUAGGGCGUGGUGUUGGGGAUCGGCCAAAGCCCGCGAGGGACGGCCGGCCCCUAAAUCUAGUGGCGGACCCGUCGUGGCCUCCUCUGCGAAGUAGUGAUAUUCCGCAUCGGAGAGCGACGAGCCCCUGCCGUUAAACCCCCAACUUUCCAAGGUUGACCUCAGAUCAGGUAGGAAUACCCGCUGAACUUAAGCAUAUC